UGGUCACCUUGAUCACUGAUCACUUCUAUA
rnacentral:piRNA from 1 species